rnacentral:lncRNA from 1 species
UAAAGAAAUUACGUUUAUACCAUUAACGGAAAAAACAAAAAACAACAAAUUAAAAACGGGCUGGGAAUAGAUUGAACCAGUGGUAUGGGACCAGGAGAGUGCGUUGUUUCCACUAAACCACCGAACGUUUUUGUAUUUUGUCAUAUAUGAUGUUUUUCUUUUCUUAUAUGACUGUUUGAUCUUAAGUAUAUGCUUAAUUAAAUAGCAUAGGUUAAAAGAAUUAACACGGUCCAAUUAAUCAUGCUA